rnacentral:rRNA from 1 species
UACAGAGGUCCCAAGCGUUGUUCGGAUUCAUUGGGCGUAAAGGGUGCGUAGGUGGCGCCGUAAGUCGGGUGUGAAAUUUCGGAGCUUAACUCCGAAACUGCAUUCGAUACUGCGGUGCUUGAGGACUGGAGAGGAGACUGGAAUUCAUGGUGUAGCAGUGAAAUGCGUAGAGAUCAUGAGGAACACCGAUGGCGAAGGCAAUCCCCUGGGCCUGCACUGACGCUCAUGCACGAAAGCGUGGGGAGCAAACAGG